rnacentral:lncRNA from 1 species
ACGAAUCCUGUCAUGUAAAGCUUCAUCUCCUCCUUUUACACGUCCAACAACCUAAACACCAGAUCAAGAGAUUUAAAAAACCAACCAACGAUCUGAAACAGAGGAUGUGAAAUCAUGAAUUAUAAGAAGGAAACUUUAACCGUAAACUCAGAAUCCUCAACCGUAAGCUCCACCAGUGAUGGAGCUCGAACUCCUCCAUCUCCCUCCAUUUUCUCAACCGUUUGUUGUUUCUUGUUCCUAACAAUCUCACAAUAUCAUAAAUGAUCAAAAAGAAAAAGAUCACAGACAACUCCCAAGAACACUUUUCAAAGAAAACUUUUCAAAGCUUAAGUGAUGCUUUGCACGUACCAGGAGCAAGGCGGUGAGUGACUUACCAAAUAUUAAGGAGUAAUUAUUUUUACAGAAAACUGUAUACAGAGGUAAAGUGAUGGGACUAAAACUAAACGGCCUUGCUAACUACUCUGUUUUCCCCGGAGGCGAUGAAGAGCUCUGGUGGUUCUAGUGAGAGGAAUUUUUCGUGAAUCUACCACUCUUAUAUAGUGAGGAAGGAAAGAGAGGAAAGCUCAAAAGAAUAAUAAGGAGUAAAGGAUUUGUAACCGGUGAAAGUGUUGGUUUGCAGAGGCAGACGAAGCGGAAGAAGACCAAGGAGGGAUUGGAAUUGACGUGAAAAGGUGACAGAGAAAAGUGAUUUGGUGAUAUGUAUAUUGUUUUAAUGACUUGUCAAUUUAGAGGUCCCUGGUUAGCCUGAAUUUUCAGUCCUACGUGGAUAGUCUCAAUGCUCUAGCUCAAGAGCUUUUAGUAUUGUGAGAUAUCCCAUUCCUCUACCGUCAAUACUCAUUCUUAUUCACUCAA